rnacentral:rRNA from 1 species
UACGUAGGGUGCGAGCGUUAAUCGGAAUUACUGGGCGUAAAGCGUGCGUAGGCGGUUGGCAAAGUCAGAUGUGAAAGCCCCGGGCUCAACCUGGGAAUUGCAUUUGAGACUGAAUAGCUAGGGUGCGGUAGAGGGAAGCGGAAUUUCCGGUGUAGCGGUGAAAUGCGUAGAUAUCGGAAGGAACAUCAGUGGCGAAAGCGGCUUCCUGGACCAGCACCGACGUUCAGGCACGAAAGCGUGGGGAGCAAACAGG